rfam:Rhizobium sp. YS-1r CONTIG.126, whole genome shotgun sequence.
UUGAUUAUUAUCACCAUUCAUCGAGUGGUGGGUUAAGCACGUCAUAUUUCCAGACAAAGCAACCCGCCGCGAGGCGGGUUUU